GCCCCUAUAGCUCAGCUGGUAGAGCAACUGAUUUGUAAUCAGUAGGUCGGGAGUUCGAGUCUCUCUGGGGGCACCA
rnacentral:tRNA from 8 species